rnacentral:rRNA from 1 species
AACGAACGCUGGCGGCAGGCUUAACACAUGCAAGUCGAACGAGAUCUUCGGAUCUAGUGGCAGACGGGUGAGGAACACGUGGGAACAUACCUUUCAGUUCGGAAUAACGUUGGGAAACUAACGCUAAUACCGGAUACGCCCUUCGGGAGAAAGAUUUAUCGCUGAAAGAUUGGCCCGCGUCUGAUUAGCUAGUUGGUGAGGUAACGGCUCACCAAGGCUACGAUCAGUAGCUGUUCUGAGAGGAUGAUCAGCCACAGUGGGACUGAGACACGGCCCAGACUCCUACGGGAGGCAGCAGUGGGGAAUAUUGGACAAUGGGGGCAAGCCUGAUCCAGCCAUGCCGCGUGAGUGAUGACGGCCUUCGGGUUGUAAAGCUCUUUUGUCCGGGAAGAUAAUGACUGUACCGGAAGAAUAAGCCCCGGCAAACUUCGUGCCAGCAGCCGCCGUAA